rnacentral:rRNA from 1 species
UACGAAGGGGGCUAGCGUUGCUCGGAAUGACUGGGCGUAAAGGGCGCGUAGGCGGUUUGUACAGUCAGAUGUGAAAUUCCCGGGCUCAACCUGGGGGCUGCAUUUGAUACGUGCGGACUUGAGUGGGGAAGAGGGUCGUGGAAUUCCCAGUGUAGAGGUGAAAUUCGUAGAUAUUGGGAAGAACACCGGUGGCGAAGGCGGCACUCUGAGCCGGUACUGACGCUGAGGGGCGAAAGCGUGGGGAGCAAACAGG